rnacentral:lncRNA from 1 species
CAAUGGCUACAGGGGAUCGGAUCGGAGGAUCUAUCGUCGCCGAGACGCCGACGGUUCCUAAAGCCGGAUGGAGACACUAACACGCAUCUCGUAUUGCUGCGUGAUCGCUGUGUUGGUCGCGACGGUGACGGCCAUCGGAGUUCUGCUGGUGGUAACCGCACCCGCCGAGUACUCGGUGGCCGUCGCCGCCGCCGCCGGCCUCCGCGACGACCCGGCCCUGCUCAGCCUCAACGGAGAACGGAGUACACUGCGAGAGUAGAGAGGCUACC